rnacentral:rRNA from 1 species
CCAAGGAGUCUAACAUGUAUGCGAGCCAUUGGGUUGACUAAACCUAGAGGCGCAGUGAAAGCAAAGAGUAGCUUGUCUGCUCGAGGGACGAUCCGCAAGGCGCAGUCCCGUGACAUCCAAUCAACCUCGCAUUGUUGGGUGUACACAGAGUAUAAAUGUUGGGACCCGAAAGAUGGUGAACUAUGCCUGGCCAGGUUGAAGUCAGGGGAAACCCUGAUGGAGGACCGUAGCGAUUCUGACGUGCAAAUCGAUCGUCGGAGCUGGGUAUAGGGGCGAAAGACUAAUCGAACCAUC